rfam:Homo sapiens chromosome 4, GRCh38 reference primary assembly.
GCUGGGUGUGGUGGUGGGCGCCUGUAAUCCUAGCUACUCGGGAGGCUGAGGCAGGAGAAUUGCUUGAACCCAGGAGGCAGAGGUUGCAGUGAGCCCAGAUCGGGCCACUGCACUCCAGACUGGGUGACAGAGCAAGACUCUGUCUCUG